ACUACUUUCAAGUAGUGCACUAUAUAGGGAACAGAGUACCAUUUGGCAUGAAGCCGUUGUCUUUGCAGGUCAUUGGUAGUCUUACUUUGGACCAGACGGCAGCUGAUCCUGCCAGGAGAGGACUGACGGCCAGGAUGACGAGGGUCAGCUUCCAGCCGAAGAUGAAACCAAUGAUGAACCCUGACAAGAAGGACAUCUGUUGGUGAAGGAUGGCAUGGAAGUAUUUCUCCCGAAUCCGUUUGGUCUGUUUGGUGGCUGUCAGCAAGAACAACAUCACCUGAAAGGUCCCCAGCAGGAACACAGCACAACCGAUCCCGAUGAAGUAAUAGGCAUGUCUGGAAAUUCAAAUCGUACACGUUACAGCCACGUGCAGGACCAGUCAAGUUUGGACACCUACUCAUUCAAG